CCCUGGCUGCUGGAUACGGUGGUGUCCCGGGUGGCACCGGUGGCCUCCCUGGUGCUCUCUGGCUGCAUUGUCGUCUUUCCCACGCUUCACAUGGAGUUUGUACCCAGACCACCACCCGCAAUACGCCGCAAGUCCUCAGGAAGCAUCUCUGGUCUGCAGACACCAA